CGCAACACUCUUCACCACCUUAACUCCCUGCAGCUGCACCUGCAUUUAACAUACGGAGAGUUACUCAAGGAACGGCAGUCCCUCCUCAACUCCCUCCACCCCCACACCAGCCCUCAACGUGCAGCGAACAGAGGAGCUUUGUGCUGUGAGGAAAAACAUGGUGACACGGUCAGCCACGGACGCUGAGGU